rnacentral:rRNA from 1 species
AUCAGGUAGGACUACCCGCUGAACUUAAGCAUA